GCGGGCGUGGCGAAACUGGUAGACGCAACGGACUUAAAAUCCGUCGGGCGAAAGCCCUUGCCGGUUCGACCCCGGCCGCCCGCACCA
rnacentral:tRNA from 7 species